CUACGGGUCGCUCCAGUGGGGAAUAUUGCACAAUGGAGGAAACUCUGAUGCAGCAACGCCGCGUGGAGGAUGACACUUUUCGGAGCGUAAACUCCUUUUAUAUAGGAAGAAGAUGACGGUACUAUAUGAAUAAGCGCCGGCUAACUCCGUGCCAGCAGCCGCGGUAAUACGGAGGGCGCAAGCGCUACUCGGAAUCACUGGGCGUAAAGAGCGUGUAGGCGGAUUAAAAAGUCAGAAGUGAAAUCCUAUAGCUUAACUAUAGAACUGCUUCUGAAACUCUUAAUCUAGAAUAUGGGAGAGGUAGAUGGAAUUUCUGGUGUAGGGGUAAGAUCCGUAGAGAUCAGAAUGAAUACCGAUUGCGAAGGCGAUCUACUAGAACAUUAUUGACGCUGAGACGCGAAAGCGUGGGGAGCAAACAGGAUUAGAUACCCUGGUAGUC
rnacentral:rRNA from 1 species